UAGCAGAAAUGUGACGUCGUUAGCUUACCUGGAGGAAUGCAAACAAUGGUUUCCAAUGGCGGUCUACCUUUGUCUGCCUGAAGGUACCCCAUCUGCGUGGACAAAGUAAUGAGGCAAGCAGCUCAGUGUUGUGCCAGUACCUUUGGCUCAGGCAGGAGUAGCAUCUUCACUGCUGUAGUACCGUCAGGAUACCGUCCAAUCCUGCAGUUUGUGUGAAAGGCCACUGUCUGCAAGAGUGACCAGCAACUUAUUUACUCUACUCUGAGGUUUAAGCGCUUAGAGAGCUGCCGAGAGAUCGAGAAUUCGAACUGACAUUAAUGGAAUUACACUUGCCCGGUACCUUGAAU